GAUGAACGCUGGCGGCGUGCCUAAUACAUGCAAGUCGAGCGAACGGACGAGAAGCUUGCUUUUCUGAUGUUAGCGGCGGACGGGUGAGCAACACGUGGAUAACCUACCUAUAAGACUGGGAUAACUUCGGGAAACCGGAGCUAAUACCGGAUAAUAUUUUGAACCGCAUGGUUCAAAAGUGAAAGACGGUCUUGCUGUCACUUAUAGAUGGAUCCGCGCUGCAUUAGCUAGUUGGUAAGGUAACGGCUUACCAAGGCAACGAUGCAUAGCCGACCUGAGAGGGUGAUCGGCCACACUGGAACUGAGACACGGUCCAGACUCCUACGGGAGGCAGCAGUAGGGAAUCUUCCGCAAAGGGCGAAAGCCUGACGGAGCAACGCCGCGUGAGUGAUGAAGGUCUUCGGAUCGUAAAACUCUGUUAUUAGGGAAGAACAUAUGUGUAAGUAACUGUGCACAUCUUGACGGUACCUAAUCAGAAAGCCACGGCUAACUACGUG
rnacentral:rRNA from 1 species